rnacentral:rRNA from 1 species
UACGUAGGUGGCUAGCGUUGUCCGGAUUUACUGGGCGUAAAGAGCGCGCAGGCGGUCGUUCAAGUCGAGUGUGAAAGCCCCCGGCUCAACUGGGGAGGGUCACUCGAUACUGAUCGACUCGAAGGCAGGAGAGGGAAGCGGAAUUCCCGGUGUAGUGGUGAAAUGCGUAGAUAUCGGGAGGAACAUCAGUGGCGAAGGCGGCCACCUGGACCAGCACUGACACUGAGGCACGAAAGCGUGGGGAGCAAACAGG